CGUUCCGUACCCUUUAACAGAUAAAUAAGAUCAUGCAUGUUUGAUCAGUCGGUUAGAGCGCAGUUCUUCUAACGUGGUGGUCAGAAGUUCGAUGCGGUUAAAAUAUAUUAUUUUCAGAAAUUCGGAGUAAAAUCCAUACAAUUGAACAACACCUUCGUCUGCUAUGCCUGCAAUGGCGGACCAAACGUUAUCAACAGCCUUUGCUUUGUUUAUUUUGUGCAUUUUAUCGUUGUUUUUGUGCGUUUCCAGCCUCCAAGAUUGGAAAUGACAAAGAAAUGAGUUCUGUUCUUCGCCUCAUUUUUGCCUCAUCGUCAUCAAGCUGAUCGUCUUCGCUUCGCCAUCCUCGCUUCACCGUCCUCGCUUCACCGUCUUCACCUCGCCGUCUUCACCUCGCCACACCGUCUUCGCUUUGCCUUCUUCAAAUUGAUCGUCUUCGCCUCGCCGUCUUCGCCUCGCCGUCUUCGCCUCGCCGUCUUCGCCUCGCCGUCUUCGCCUCGCCGUCUUCGACUCGCCGUCUUCGCCUCAUCGUCUUCGAUCGCGCCCGUCUUCGUCUCAUCGCUGUCAUCGUGGAAACUCGCGUUUUUGGUAGUUUGUUUUGUUUUGUUUUGUAUUGGUGUAUAGUGUAUGUUUAAAGUUAACCCGUUGGCUGCCACCCAUUUUGCUCCCCUUUUUUUUUAGGUGUAGGGACCGGCGGCGCUGUUCUGCCUCAUGGUUGAUCACCCAUGGGGUGGGGCAGUCGCCUUGCGCCUUAGGGCGCCGUAGGCAAUGCACCAGUAGGGACUUCCCCUUGUCGAUGCGAUGGUGGAGUACCUGGGGUGUGCAUUCCCGUAAAGGUCUCCAUCGUCAAGUCAGCCCGGACUUGUCUUCGGACAAGUCCCCCUUUCAUCGGAUCCCUCUGAAACGAUGCGUAGUAACUGUA